GUACUUUGAGCUUGACCUAGCUCCCACUGAAGUCAAUGGGAGCCUUUCCAUUGACUUCAGUGGGAGGUGGAUCAGGCCCUUUCAC
rnacentral:pre_miRNA from 1 species